rnacentral:rRNA from 1 species
GGCCAGACUCCUACGGGAGGCAGCAGUGGGGAAUAUUGCACAAUGGGGGAAACCCUGAUGCAGCAACGCCGCGUGGGUGAAGAAGUAUUUCGGUAUGUAAAGCCCUGUCAGCAGGGAAGAAAAUGACGGUACCUGAAGAAGAAGCCCCGGCUAACUACGUGCCAGCAGCCGCGGUAAUACGUAGGGGGUAAGCGUUAUCCGGAUUUACUGGGUGUAAAGGGGGCGCAGACGGCGAUGCAAGCCAGGAGUGAAAGCCCGGGGCCCAACCCCGGGACUGCUCUUGGAACUGCGUGGCUGGAGUGCAGGAGGGGCAGGCGGAAUUCCUGGUGUAGCGGUGAAAUGCGUAGAUAUCAGGAGGAACACCGGUGGCGAAGGCGGCCUGCUGGACUGCAACUGACGUUGAGGCCCGAAAGCGUGGGGAGCAAACAGGAUUAGAUACCCCAGUA